ensembl:lncRNA
GGGGUCUGUGUCGUGUGUGUCUGUGUGUGUGUGUCUGGGGCUGUGUCGUGUGUGUGUCUGUAUACUGAUUUUCAGAUUGUCUAAGCAAGGUAGGUCUGUUGUUGUCAUGUGUUGAAAGGAGAAACAGGAGAUCGUCCGCCGUUCAACUCAAGGUGAGGUGCUGGUUAUAUUACUUACUGGUUGAGUUUUGACUGAAUUAGCAUUUUACAUUUUAGUUAUCUAUUAAUAGAUUUUUUUGGGAAAAUGGUUUCUGUACUGCCUAUGUCAUUCUAUGCAAAUAUUUGGCUUUAAAUUUGUCCUUGGAUGAAAGCUUUAUAAGUUGGCUGUGAUUAGGAAAAUUUGGAUUGUAUCUGCCACACAAUGCAAUGUGUUUUUAAAUGCUGAAAUGUCGUGUUACAUUUCCUUUUUACACGCACACAUCCGCCCAACAGUCUAAACUCUAACUCUGUCCAUCAUAUGCAAUGUGUUUUAAAUGCUGUGCUUUAGCCCAUAUAUUGAUUUCACAUGAACACCUUGUGCAUGUGUG